rnacentral:lncRNA from 1 species
CAGAGAGCUAGGUCACCCCUUCCACCAUGUGAGGACACAGUUAAAAGGCACAGUCUAUAAGAAAGCAGGUCCUCACUAGACACCAAAUCUGCUGACACAUUAAUCUUGGACUUUCCAGCCUCCAGAACUAUGUCACUUAUAAAAUCAAAUCCCUUGAGCUCCUCUUAACCAGUUGGCUAUACUUAAAAGGAAACAGACAGCCAAUUAUCCAUUCAAAAAUGAUAUUUUAAAUUAUCCAUUCAAAUUUCUGCUGCCUAACCAUUAACCGAAAGACUCAUAACCACGAGUAUGGCUCUGGAGUCAAGUUGUAUGAAUUACAAUCAUGGCAACAUCAUACUGAACAGGCAAACUCUGGAACCAUUCCUU